UACGUAGGGCGCAAGCGUUGUCCGGAAUUAUUGGGCGUAAAGAGCUCGUAGGCGGCUUGUCACGUCGGGUGUGAAAGCCCGGGGCUUAACCCCGGGUCUGCAUUCGAUACGGGCUAGCUAGAGUGCGGUAGGGGAGAUCGGAAUUCCCGGUGUAGUGGUGAAAUGCGUAGAUAUCGGGAGGAACACCAGUGGCGAAGGCGACUACCUGGCCUGUUCUUGACGCUGAGGCGCGAAAGCUAGGGGAGCAAACGGG
rnacentral:rRNA from 1 species